CUGGUACUCCCUCCGUUCCGAAUUACUCGUCGCAGAAAUGGAUGUAUCUAGAUGUAUUUUAGUUCUAGAUACAUUCAUUUCUACGACGAGUAAUUUGGAACGGAGGGAGUACAUG
rfam:Triticum urartu cultivar G1812 contig950957, whole genome shotgun sequence.